rnacentral:rRNA from 1 species
UACGUAGGGCGCAAGCGUUAUCCGGAAUUAUUGGGCGUAAAGAGCUCGUAGGCGGUCUGUCGCGUCGGCUGUGAAAACCCGAGGCUCAACCUCGGGCCUGCAGUCGAUACGGGCAGACUAGAGUGCUGUAGGGGAGACUGGAAUUCCUGGUGUAGCGGUGAAAUGCGCAGAUAUCAGGAGGAACACCGGUGGCGAAGGCGGGUCUCUGGGCAGUAACUGACGCUGAGGAGCGAAAGCGUGGGGAGCGAACAGG